AAGACCUUGCGCUUUUGGAGCGGCCGAUGCCUGAUUAGCUUGUUGGUAAGGUAAAAGCUUACCAAGGCUUCGAUCAGUAGCUGGUCUGAGGGGACGGCCAGCCACACUGGGACUGAGACACGGCCCAGACUCCUACGGGAGGCAGCAGUGGGGAAUUUUGGACAAUGGGGGCAACCCUGAUCCAGCCAUGCCGCGUGAGUGAAGAAGGCCUUCGGGUUGUAAAGCUCUUUCAGCCGGAACGAAACGGUUACGGUUAAUACCCGUGAUUACUGACGGUACCGGAAGAAGAAGCACCGGCUAACUACGUGCCAGCAGCCGCGGUAAUACGUAGGGUGCGAGCGUUAAUCGGAAUUACUGGGCGUAAAGCGUGCGCAGGUGGUUUUGUAAGUCAGAUGUGAAAGCCCCGGGCUCAACCUGGGAACU
rnacentral:rRNA from 1 species